UAUACGACUCUCGGCAACGGAUAUCUCGGCUCUCGCAUCGAUGAAGAACGUAGCGAAAUGCGAUACUUGGUGUGAAUUGCAGAAUCCCGUGAACCAUCGAGUCUUUGAACGCAAGUUGCGCCCGAGGCCUUUCGGUUGAGGGCACGCCUGCCUGGGCGUCGCGC
rnacentral:rRNA from 1 species